GAAGAGAGGGGAGAGAAGGGGAGAGGAGAGGAGGGAAGAGAGAGAAGAGAGAAGUGCAGCAGCAGUAGUAGUAAUAUGUGGUCAGGAGAGCAGGAGAUGGCCUCUCCAUAUUCAUGACCAGAGCCCAACCCAACCCAACCCAACCCAGCGAAGCGGAGAGGAGAGGAGCGGAGCGGAGCAGAGCAGAAUGAGGAUGAGGAUGAGUCAAAGUGCUGACAGCCACGAAGCCACGGGAGCUCUGGGGUUUCUCCAGCACAGGCAGCACACGGUCAGCUAGAGGGCCCCUUCACGCAGCUACACCACAGCACUCCUGCAGUGGCCUCAGAGGAAUAUGGUGCGCAAUGUUUUCCUCGGAAAAUUCAGACCGCUAUCGAGCUGAAGCCUGCCCAAGACAAGAUGCAUGUCAAAGGGAACGUAUGCAGAAAAAAAAAACUGUCAAAUAAGCCUCUCUCCAGUCUAAGGUGGACCUCUGAGCCUGGCUGCCCUCUUUAACGUCACCUUACCCAGCCAAAGGGAAACACAGAGACUGAUGAGGACCAUCUGAGGACACACUUGCCAAGGUUGUGACCAGAUCCAUCAAUGCAAUCAUCAAACGGGCCCCAAAUGAAAGUGCUCUUUUUAAGACUUCCCCAGUCCAAAGAGCUAUAUUGUGGAUGUUGUGAUGAUGAUGAUGAUGAUGAUGAUGAUGAUGAUGAUAAGUAUAUGAUGAUGGUGAUGAGAAGCAGAAGACGAAGAGGAAAAGAAGAAGAAAAAAAAACUGAAGAUUUUCCAUGGGACGGGCGAAUGUAGGCCAGGGUGACCUAGUUGACAUGAGGACCCACUUUCAUCUGAUUGGCUUCAUCAGAGCUAUCCACUGAGCGUGCCCAGUCUCGCUCCAAACCGGAUAUGUCUGGUGCCCACAUCACCGCCUACCACCAGAGCCAGUCAACUGCAGUGACAGCCCUGUUCCCUCCGCAGACACAGAACCUGCAGGCAGACCACAUAUUCAGCCUGCUGCUCCAUUACAGUACCUGAAUUUUGCUGAGGACUGCUGAGAAAAACCCUUUAUCCCUUGUACCUACUGUAAGGGAUCCCCAAUUUUUGUUGAUAUCUGGGAUAUUAGUGAUGAUCUUUUGUCGUUUCUCGUGUUUUGCUCAGCAUGUCUAUAAUGAGUUACUUAAAGCUUUGGAGCCAAG